rnacentral:rRNA from 1 species
GUUGAACGCUGGCGGCAUGCCUUACACAUGCAAGUCGAACGGCAGCACGGGUGCUUGCACCUGGUGGCGAGUGGCGAACGGGUGAGUAAUACAUCGGAACGUACCUUAUCGUGGGGGAUAACGCAGCGAAAGCUGUGCUAAUACCGCAUACGCCCUGAGGGGAAAGCGGGGGAUCGAAAGACCUCGCGCGAUUAGAGCGGCCGAUGCCUGAUUAGCUUGUUGGUGGGGUAAAAGCCCACCAAGGCGACGAUCAGUAGCUGGUCUGAGAGGACGAUCAGCCACACUGGGACUGAGACACGGCCCAGACUCCUACGGGAGGCAGCAGUGGGGAAUUUUGGACAAUGGGGGCAACCCUGAUCCAGCAGUGCCGCGUGAGUGAAGAAGGCCUUCGGGUUGUAAAGCUCUUUUGUCAGGGAAGAAACACCGGCUCUAACACAGUCCGGGAAUGACGGUACCUGAAGAAUAAGCACCGGCUAACUACGUGCCAGCCGCCGCCGUAA